rnacentral:rRNA from 1 species
AUUGAACGCUGGCGGCAGGCCUAACACAUGCAAGUCGAGCGGAUGAAGGGAGCUUGCUCCUGGAUUCAGCGGCGGACGGGUGAGUAAUGCCUAGGAAUCUGCCUGGUAGUGGGGGAUAACGUCCGGAAACGGGCGCUAAUACCGCAUACGUCCUGAGGGAGAAAGAGGGGGAUCUUUGGACCUCACGCUAUCAGAUGAGCCUAGGUCGGAUUAGCUAGUUGGGGGGGUAAAGGCCUACCAAGGCGACGAUCCGUAACUGGUCUGAGAGGAUGAUCAGUCACACUGGAACGGAGACACGGUCCAGACUCCUACGGGAGGCAGCAGUGGGGAAUAUUGGACAAUGGGCGAAAGCCUGAUCCAGCCAUGCCGCGUGUGUGAAGAAGGUCUUCGGAUUGUAAAGCACUUUAAGUUGGGAGGAAGGGCAGUAAGUUAAUACCUUGCUGUUUUGACGUUACCAACAGAAUAAGCACCGGCUAACUUCGUG